rnacentral:rRNA from 1 species
UACGAAGGGUGCGAGCGUUGUUCGGAAUUAUUGGGCGUAAAGCGCACGUAGGCGGCCUUGUAAGUCUCACUGUGAAAGUCCGGGGCUCAACCCCGGGAUGCCAGGGGAUACUGCGAGGCUGGAGACAAGCAGAGGUUGGUAGAAUUCCGGGUGUAGCGGUGGAAUGCGUAGAGAUCCGGAGGAAUACCAGAGGCGAAGGCGGCCAACUGGGCUUGUUCUGACGCUGAGGUGCGAAAGCGUGGGGAGCGAACAGA